UACGUAGGCAGCGAGCGUUGUUCGGAGUUACUGGGCGUAAAGGGUGCGUAGGCGGCUUCUUAAGUUUGGUGUGAAAUCUCCCGGCUCAACUGGGAGGGUGCGCCGAAUACUGAGGGGCUAGAGUGUGGGAGAGGAAAGUGGAAUUCCAGGUGUAGCGGUGAAAUGCGUAGAUAUCUGGAGGAACACCGGUGGUGUAGACGGCUUUCUGGACCAUUACUGACGCUGAUGCACGAAAGCGUGGGUAGCAAACAGG
rnacentral:rRNA from 1 species